GUUUAAACGAGACGGCCUUCGUAGGACAAACGGAAACGGAACGUAACAUGGUUGCUAUGACAACACGCCACUCUUUAACAAGCGCGAGCGCUUUGAGUGAGAAGGGAACAAACGCCCGCUAGAAGGGAAUGUAUGAGACAUUUCCGUUGAAGCAAAGAAUUGUGGGUUGUGAGUGCCCACGAAGGAUACACCUCAUGCAUCCUCCGAAUUCCCGUGAAAGAAGGUCGCAUUUGAAGGCUGCAUUUGAAGUGUCCUACUCGCUUUUCUGAAACGAGACAGCCUCGAUGACGACCUCCGGAGGACGCAUACUUCCAAACGAGACACAAUUAUCUUCACUGAAGGCUUUCUAGGAAGUCAGUCCACUGUCAAGACAUCUAUGGAAUGCUCUCGGGAGGCUAUUUCCAGUCAAUUCCAGCAAAAAUCUCAAAAACGGUUGGUCAAGAACGCUAUCAAAGAGCAUAUUUAAAAUCAGCAAUAAAAACUGACAAUACUGGAAUUAUAAAUUGUGAUUCUUAACCUCAUAUUACCCUAAAAAUGCAAUUUUUCCGGCUUGUAUAGCUAAUGCGCAUGCGCAUUCUAGAGUUGAUCGACAGGUGAUGUCUGUAUCUAAAAGGUGAUUAGCUCUUUUAACUGUAAGGCGGGACUUCCUUUUUACAUCCGUUGACUGUUGGGCGCUCAGAAAUCCUUGGUGGAGCGUUCCAAUUUCACCCACUCAUUUUAAUAGAAGUGGGCCAUCUCUGCUAAAUAUUCUUUGGUUUAUGCGUUUAACAGAAAGUGUAACAAGGGGUCUGUCAUAAUAUCAACAUUAAAGGAAUUACAGUUUAAUUACAAUACAAUUUAAUAUCAAUCGACAGCAUUGUGGCAUAAUGUUGAUAAAUAAAAAAAUAAAUUCUGACUUUCCCACCCUUUUCGUAAAAAAAAAUAUAUAUAUAUCUUUGUUCUAGUGAGGCACUUACAAUGGAAGUGGAGACAAUCCGUAAACGUUAAAUACUCACUAUUUUAAAAGUUUAGCCACAAGACAGAAACAAUAUGCGUGUUAACAUGAUUUUAGUGUGUAAAAUCACUUACUAACAUUUCUGUGUAAAGUUGCCAAUUUUAUAACUUCGUUGCCAUGAUGUAAUGUCAACAGACCCUAAAAUGACUGUAAAAAUUACGAUUUAAACAACUUUACAGCCCAAAUAAUACAUGAGUUUUAACAGAAUUAAUGUAAGUGCUUUUAUAAUAUUAUACGCUUCACAUUUCUGCCUUUAAACCCUCCAAAAAUUGGCCCGAUUCACUUCAAGUGUAAGUGCCUCUCUGUAACUUCGAUUUUUGCUUCUUUUUUUUUUUU